GACAGAGGGUGCGAACGUUGUUCGGAAUUACUGGGCGUAAAGCGUGCGCAGGCGGUUUUGUAAGUCAGAUGUGAAAUCCCCGGGCUUAACCUGGGAACUGCGUUUGAAACUACAAGGCUAGAGUGUGGCAGAGGGGGGUGGAAUUCCACGUGUAGCAGUGAAAUGCGUAGAGAUGUGGAGGAACACCGAUGGCGAAGGCAGCCCCCUGGGUUAACACUGACGCUCAGGCACGAAAGCGUGGGGAGCAAACAGG
rnacentral:rRNA from 1 species